GUUAAGCGACUAAGCGUACACGGUGGAUGCCCUGGCAGUCAGAGGCGAUGAAGGGCGUGCUAAUCUGCGAUAAGCGCCGGUAAGGUGAUAUGAACCGUUAUAACCGGCGAUACCCGAAUGGGGAAACCCAGUGUGAUUCGUCACACUAUCAUUAACUGAAUCCAUAGGUUAAUGAGGCGAACCGGGGGAACUGAAACAUCUAAGUACCCCGAGGAAAAGAAAUCAACCGAGAUUCCCCCAGUAGCGGCGAGCGAACGGGGAGGAGCCCAGAGCCUGAAUCAGCAUGUGUGUUAGUGGAAGCGUCUGGAAAGGCGCGCGAUACAGGGUGACAGCCCCGUACACAAAAGCGCAUGUGCUGUGAGCUCGAUGAGUAGGGCGGGACACGUGGUAUCCUGUCUGAAUAUGGGGGGACCAUCCUCCAAGGCUAAAUACUCCUGACUGACCGAUAGUGAACCAGUACCGUGAGGGAAAGGCGAAAAGAACCCCGGCGAGGGGAGUGAAAAAGAACCUGAAACCGUGUACGUACAAGCAGUGGGAGCACAGGUUUACCUGUGUGACUGCGUACCUUUUGUAU
rnacentral:rRNA from 1 species